rfam:TPA: Bos taurus chromosome 25, whole genome shotgun sequence.
UCCCCUGUGGCUCAGCUGGUAAAGAAUCCGCCUGCAAUGCGGGAGACCUAGGUUCGAUCCCUGGGUUGGGGAA